rnacentral:rRNA from 1 species
GAGAAUUUAGCAGAGAUGCUUUAGUGCCUUCGGGAACUCUGAGACAGGUGCUGCAUGGCUGUCGUCAGCUCGUGUUGUGAAAUGUUGGUUAAGCCCGUUCAACGAGCGCAACCCCUAUCCUUUGUUGCCAGCGAUUCGGUCGGGAACUCAAAGGAGACUGCCGGUGAUAAACCGGAGGAAGGUGGGGAUGACGUCAAGUCAUCAUGGCCCUUACGAGUAGGGCUACACACGUGCUACAAUGGCGCAUACAAAGAGAAGCGACCUCGCGAGAGCAAGCGGACCUCAUAAAAGUGCGUCGUACGUCCGGAUUGGAGUCUGCAACUCGACUCCAUGAAGUCGGAAUCGCUAGUAAUCGUAGAUCAGAAUGCUACGGUGAAUACGUUCCCGGGCCUUGUACACACCGCCCGUCACACCAUGGGAGUGGGUUGCAAAAGAAGUAGAUAGCUUAACCUUCGGGAGGGCGUUUACCACUUUGUGAUUCAUGACUGGGGUGAAGUCGUAACAAGGUAAGCGUAGCGAG